UACGUAGGGUGCGAGCGUUGUCCGGAAUUAUUGGGCGUAAAGGGCUCGUAGGCGGUCUGUUGCGUCAGGAGUGAAAACUCGGGGCUUAACCCCGAGCCUGCUUCUGAUACGGGCAGACUAGAGGUAUGCAGGGGAGAACGGAAUUCCUGGUGUAGCGGUGAAAUGCGCAGAUAUCAGGAGGAACACCAAUAGCGAAGGCAGCUCGCUGGGACGUUACUGACGCUGAGACGCGAAGCGUGGGGAGCGAACAGG
rnacentral:rRNA from 1 species